rnacentral:rRNA from 1 species
AACGAACGCUGGCGGCAUGCCUAACACAUGCAAGUCGAACGAGACCUUCCGGUCUUUUUGCGCUCGUGUGCUUAACACGUGGGAACCUGCCCUUAGGUUCCCUAUACCUCCCCUUAAGGGAUCCUAAUACCACUUAAUCUCAUCGCACCAAAGAUUUAUCGCGUUUGGAUGGGGCCUCGUUGGUUUAGGCAGUUGGUAGGGUAAAAGCCUACCAAGGCGACGAUGCAUAGCUGGUCUGUGAGGAGGAUCAGCCGCAAUGGGAAUGAGACACGGACCAGAAUGGGACGGGAGGCAGCAGUGGAGAAUAUUGGAGAAGGGGCGCAAGCGUGGUACAGCAAUGCCGCGUGAGAGAGGAAGGGGUUAGGGUUGUAAAGCUGUUUUACCCGAGAUGAGAAUGACAGUAACGGGAGAAGAAGCUCCGGCUAACUCCGUG